GGGAGGCAGGAGGGUUCUAACAUAUGGGCCCGGACCGGCCACAGGAUGCAAGAGGAGUGAGAGUCAGAGGAGAAGGUGAUAUGAUGGAAGAGAUAUACAGAGAUUGGAAUGCUGUGCUUUGAAGAUGGAAGAAGCAACUAUAAGCCAAGGAAGACAUACAGCCACUAAAAGCUGGAAUGCAAGUUCACAGGUGUUUACUGUACGCUGGUCACUGUUCCAGGCACUGGGA